AAAGAAUACAAAACACACAAUUGAAUAAACCAAAAGCAUAACAAACCAAACACAGACCAUAACAAUGGGAAAUGGCUGGAUUGAAUUUAAACUGACCAAGAAAGUGAUCCCAAUAUUCCAACAGAUUGGUUCUACCCACUGGUUCUGUGAGGGAGACAGUCAGAUGUACGUGGUCGAUUGCCAUGGCCUGUAUGAGGUCGAGAAUCGUUCUUGGAAGGAGGAGAGUUUCCCUUCUUGCGCUGGUCUCCGUGGUGAUGGUUUCCUCCUUCUGUAGCACCCACACCACCCUGACUGCCCGAUCGGCACAAGUUCAAGAGAAGAGCUGCAGUAUACUCAAGGGUGGAAUCACUCAGACAGUCUGGGUCAUGCAAUUCAUUCACCAGCCAGCCAAUCAGAUCAUCUUCUAUCAUGGCCAUCUGCUGCUUUCUCCUAAAGACAAAUAUGAUUAGGAUAACGGAUUAAGCAUUACAUUUUUUUUUUUGCUUUGAUCUCUGUGGAAAUCACUGAUUGGAACACAGUUUUAUCCACAAAGGGUUUAUAAAUUCUCCAUUACAUUAGGCUGAGUUUCUGCAGUGCCACCAGCGCUAUCUCUCUUGUCAAGGAGUUCUCCUCCUCCUUCUUCUUGAGUGUCUCCAUCAGAAGUGUUGGAAGCAAUGGGUUUUGGGAGAGAUAAACUCGCCCUGAAAGUAUAAACGUACCAUAAUAAUAUGAAGUCAGUGUUACUGAUCAAAACUCAUAACCUACUGUAACUUUGUAUUGGACUUUUUAUUUCAAUCUCAUCUUUUAGGUCUUGGAUUGCCAAAUUUCUUUAAACCUUUUGUGGUUGAAUAUUAUUUUCAUUUACAUCUCACAUUCAUAACCAUAUCAGACUUAACUGUGAAGUUGUUAAUGCUUACCAUCUGGAAAGGAGGAAAAUGUAUUGAGAAGACUAGCCAUGUACUGUCGCACCAUUUCAUUCUUUGAAGUCAAUAAAUGAAGGAUAGUUUUCUGGAGACAGAAUGAGCAGUGUUAUUUCUAUUAUUUAUUUUUUUUACAUUUCGAGAUAAAAUCCAUAUUAAAAAA